rfam:Halomonas sp. QHL1 Scaffold1, whole genome shotgun sequence.
CUUCUUCGACCUGCUGAGGGCAGAUAAAGUGGAUAUGGGAGUCGAUACCGCCUGCGGUCAGGAUCUUACCUUCGCCGGAGAUAAUUUCGGUACCGGGGCCAAUGACGAUCUCAACAUCAGGCUGUACGUCAGGAUUGCCUGCCUUACCAAUCGCGGCGAUGCGGCCGUUUUGAAUGCCCACAUCAGCUUUGACGAUGCCCCACCAGUCUAAAAUCAGUGCGUUGGUAAUCACCGUAUCCAUCACCGUGUCGUCAGAGCGCUGGCUUUGACCCAUGCCGUCGCGGAUG